UCACAACACAAAGAUAAGCAUAGAUUGAGUGAUAUAAUGAUGAAUU
rnacentral:guide_RNA from 1 species